AUUGACGGAAGGGCACCACCAGGAGUGGAGCCUGCGGCUUAAUUUGACUCAACACGGGAAACCUCACCCGGCCCGGACACGGAAAGGAUUGACAGAUUGAAAGCUCUUUCUCGAUUCUGUGGGUGGUGGUGCAUGGCCGUUCUUAGUUGGUGGAGCGAUUUGUCUGGUUCAUUCCGAUAACGAACGAGACUCCGGCAUGCUAAAUAGUUACGCGGCCCCGCGCGGUCGGCGUCCAACUUCUUAGAGGGACAAGUGGCGUUCAGCCACGCGAGAUGGAGCAAUAACAGGUCUGUGAUGCCCUUAGAUGUCCGGGGCUGCACGCGCGCCACAAUGGGCGGAUCAGCGUGUGCCUACCCUGCGCCGAGAGGUGCGGGUAACCCGCUGAACCCCGCUCGUGAUCGGGACUGGGGAUUGAAACUGUUUCCCAUCAACGAGGAAUUCCCAGUAAGCGCGGGUCAUAAGCUCGCGUUGAUUAAGUCCCUGCCCUUUGUACACACCGCCCGUCGCUACUACCGAUUGGG
rnacentral:rRNA from 1 species